rnacentral:rRNA from 1 species
AUUGAACGCUGGCGGCAGGCCUAACACAUGCAAGUCGAGCGGAUGAAGGGAGCUUGCUCCUGGAUUCAGCGGCGGACGGGUGAGUAAUGCCUAGGAAUCUGCCUGGUAGUGGGGGAUAACGUCCGGAAACGGGCGCUAAUACCGCAUUCGUCCUGAGGGAGAAAGUGGGGGAUCUUCGGACCUCACGCUAUCAGAUGAGCCUAGGUCGGAUUAGCUAGUUGGUGGGGUAAAGGCCUACCAAGGCGACGAUCCGUAACUGGUCUGAGAGGAUGAUCAGUCACACUGGAACUGAGACACGGUCCAGACUCCUACGGGAGGCAGCAGUGGGGAAUAUUGGGCAAUGGGCGAAAGCCUGAUCCAGCCAUGCCGCGUGUGUGAAGAAGGUCUUCGGAUUGUAAAGCACUUUAAGUUGGGAGGAAGGGCAGUAAGUUAAUACCUUGCUGUUUUGACGUUACCAACAGAAUAAGCACCGGCUAACUUCGUG